GUAAAUCAGUUUAACAAUGUAAAGUUAUCCCACCCAGAGCCUGGGACAGAUAGACUCAGACAGAUUGUGCCUGGGGCCCCUCCAAAACCAGCUCUACUGGAGGCGUUGAAUGAUAGAAACGCCUAAUGCGCUGGAAGGAAUCACUACUGCCAGGGAUUACAGAGCAACAUAUCCCCGCAGCCACAAGCAGCAGUCUAUUAAUAAUGGCUGCUUGCGUUAUCACAAUAUACAAUCAGCUCGUGAAAAGUCAGACGGUUU